GCCGGGCGUGGUGGCGCACGCCUUUAAUCCCAGCACUCGGGAGGCAGAGGCAGGUGGAUCUCUGAGUUCGAGGCCAGCCUGGUCUACAAAGUGAGUUCCAGGACAGCCAGGGCUAUAUGGAGAAACCCUGUCUCGAAAAACCAAAAAAAAUUAAAAAAAAAAAUAAAUAAAUAAAUAAAUAAAAAUAAAAAAAAAUAAAAGUAUUUCUUUUUUGGGGGGGGGUUUUGAGACAGGGUUUCUCUGUAGAGCCCUGGCUGUCCUGGAACUCACUUUGUAGACCAGGCUGGCCUCGAAC
rnacentral:lncRNA from 1 species